CAUAUAUAUAUAUAUAUAUAUACAUAUAUAUUGAAUUAAAUUCUUACAUAUGACACUUUGACAUAUACUCACAUACAUAUAUAAAUAUAUACAUAUUUUUUGUAAUGUACAACUGAUUAUGCAGAUAUGAAGUUAUAAAAAUACAAAUUAGAUCAUUCGAAUUUAAAUUUGAUUUUGAAAGAGGAAUUUUACUAGAAAGUGGAAUAUUCAAGCAAAAAAGAAAUUAUAUUUUAAAUGAAAUGGAUGACUUGUACAAAUAUACUCCACCAAUGUUAAUUGAAAUGAGUUUGCCAGAUUCAAGUAUGCCUUUUAAUGUUAUAGCCAUUUCAUUGUGUGUUGUUACGUUAUUUUUUGGGUUCAUAUUUAAGCGUACUGCUAAAGAAAUGGCUAGAUAUAUUUAAUUUUUUUUUUUAUUUUUCUUAUGAAUUUUUUGAAGUUCAUAAUAAAAAUAAUAAAAAUAUAUCA
rnacentral:lncRNA from 1 species